rnacentral:rRNA from 1 species
GACGAACGCUGGCGGCGUGCUUAACACAUGCAAGUCGAACGGAAAGGCCCUGCUUUUGUGGGGUGCUCGAGUGGCGAACGGGUGAGUAACACGUGAGUAACCUGCCCUUGACUUUGGUAUAACUUCAGGAAACUGGGGCUAAUACCGGAUAGGAGCUCCUGCUGCAUGGUGGGGGUUGGAAAUUUUCGGCGGUUGGGGAUGGACUCGCGGCUUAUCAGCUUGUUGGUGGGGUAGUGGCUUACCAAGGCUUUGACGGGUAGCCGGCCUGAGAGGGUGACCGGCCACAUUGGGACUGAGAUACGGCACAGAAUCGUACGGGAGGCAGCAGUGGGGAAUAUUGCACAAUGGGCGGAAGCAUGAUGCAGCAAAGCCGCGUGCGGGAUGACGGCCUUCGGGUUGUAAACAGAUUUAGAGUGUGACGAAGAGUGAGUGACGGUAAUGGGUAAAGAAGCACCGGCUAACUACGUG